GCAGCAAAACCUGUGCUGGGUCUGGCUCCUGCGACAGCAUCGACGGACAUUGUAGCGAGGGCUGCAAGACAGGAUUCUACGGAUUCGAUUGCUUGCAAGCCUGUUCAUCUAACUGUGUGGGUGGUGCUACGUGUGAUGAAAAGACUGGCUCCUGUUUACGUGGAUGCCUGGAUGGAUUUUUCGGCGCCGAUUGUAAAGUUGUGUGUCCAGUGAAUUGCGGUGGAAAUAAAAGUUGUGACCUGAAGACUCAAAGAUGCACACAAGGCUGUAAUUUUGGCUAUGGAGGAGACACUUGCAACAAAUCUGCCUCAAAGAGUGCUAACACUGAUCAGUCCAGCUCCUCCAGCUUUUACAUUGUCAUCCCACUGUUCCUUAUAAUCGCAGUAGCAGCAUUGUUGGCCUUACUGUGGAAAAAAAACCCAUCUCCGAUUACUGCCUUGGAGUGAUGACAAAUUAUCCUUAAAAAGUUUUUGCUUUCGUUUGUUUUAUUUCAUUUUUUGCUUGCUCUACUCUACUUAAAAUGACCUAAUAUGUAGUCAUUGGUGUGAAAUAUUUGAUACAACAUUAUUGUUAUUUUGAGCCUAAUGUUUAAAUAAAUAAAUAAACAAGUA
rnacentral:sRNA from 1 species